rnacentral:rRNA from 1 species
UACGUAGGGUGCAAGCGUUGUCCGGAAUUAUUGGGCGUAAAGAGCUCGUAGGCGGUUUGUUGCGUCGGCUGUGAAAUCCCGAGGCUCAACCUCGGGUCUGCAGUCGAUACGAGCAAACUAGAGUGUUGCAGGGGAGACUGGAAUUCCUGGUGUAGCGGUGAAAUGCGCAGAUAUCAGGAGGAACACCAAUGGCGAAGGCAGCACUCUGGGACGGUA